CGAAUUAGGGGUAAACUGAAAAACCGAAAGGUCGAAGGAAGAAAUUCAUUCGCGUUUCGACGUAGGCGACGGGUCGUCAAGUGACGGAAAAACNUUCGCGUUUUUUCGCGCCUUCGAUCCGUUCGAACCGACAACAAACGUGUGCACUUUUCUUCUGGUAGGACGUCGCGAUUCGUCGACUGUCGAUCUACGCUUCGCGGUGGAGCCCGUUCGUACGUUUUCGGACGGUUAACGAACGGACCCGUGAUACGCCGAUCGACUCGCUCGACGAUAUAUGAACGGUUGGAGGCCGCUCGUUAUUUAAGGAGCGUUCGACCCGCGGCAAGCGCGUCGGAUGCGUCGACGAUCGGACCCGGUGCCGGUUUCGACCUCCGACGACUGUUGGCCGGUGGAGUUCUCGAACAGACCUCUCUUUUUUGGAAAAACCGAUCUGCGACGCUAUAGCUUUGGGUAAUUUCAGGACCCGUCUUGAAACACGGACCAAGGAGUCUAGCAUGUGCGCGAGUCAUUGGGAAUCUUUAAACCUAAAGGCGCAAUGAAAGUAAAAGUCUUCCUCGCGAAGACUUAGGGAAGAUGAGCGUUUCUCGCCGUCUUCAUCGGCGGCGGGAUCGUUUCGCAUUCCCGGGGCGUUUCGUUCUCAUCGCGAGAUGAGGCGCACCAAAAGCGUACACGCUGGGACCCGAAAGAUGGUGAACUAUGCCUGGUCAGGACGAAGUCAGGGGAAACCCUGAUGGAGGUCCGUAGCGAUUCUGACGUGCAAAUCGAUCGUCGGAACUGGGUAUAGGGGCGAAAGACUAAUCGAACCAUCUA
rnacentral:rRNA from 1 species